GGGGGGAUACCGAAGUGGCCAACCGGGGCAGACUGUAAAUCUGUUGUCUUACGACUUCGGAGGUUCGAAUCCUCCUCCCCCCA
rnacentral:tRNA from 3 species